AGCAACUCGUCACACUAUCACUAUCCACUGUUUGGUACUGCUACGUUUUGGAUUAUCUUAUGGCAUGUAUAGAAUAGACUAGUGGCGGAAGAAUAUUUUUGGUUAAUGUAUAUAAGCCAUGCGAAAAUGGCAUCUUUUGAAUAUUUACUUAGUGAAGUUUAAAUUUUAUCUCUGGCUGUGCUUAGUACUUAUUUAAAUGAAUGAUCUUAAUUUCAAGAAAAAGUUUAAAAUUUUACUGUUCUGACAUGAGUUACAAGUCCGGUAAUGCCCCUUACCUAUUCUGGCGACGGUUACGGGAUAGGGGUGUUACAAAGUGUGCGAUACCGAGAUAGCUUCGAUUAAUUGAGAUGGCACUAAGUGUGCAGAAUCAUUCUAGCUUCGACUAAACCUUAAAGCACUAAGUGUGCGGAUGCUUAAAGCAUGAAUAAUCUUCGAAAAGUCUUAAAGUAUCUAGACGAGAGGUGAGAAUGAAAAUGAAUAAAUACGAGAAGGUUUCGGUACGUACAAUACCUAUGUGGCAGAUGAUAUUAUGUAUAUGAAGUUCUUGGAUUGGUAUAAAAAUAUGAAUUGUGUUGGCAUAGAAUUGAUAGAUGAAUUGAUAACUAUUAAGUGUUUAUGUGAUGAUGUUUUAUAUUUUAUAAGCUGUUAAUGAUAUUUAGUACGAGCUUACUGAGCUUUUGAAAGCUUACUUUGUGUGUGUUUACAUUGUUUUAUAGAUAUCAAAGCUGUUGUGAGCUCGAGGAUCGUUGAGGAUCGUCACCACACUAUCAAAUCUCAUUUUGGUACCUUUUGAAAUUGUAUAUAGUAAAGUAUGGCAUGUAUAGGCUAGAAGUACUUUGGAUAGGUUUUGUAAUGUUUAUAUUUAGCCAUGUGAUAUGGCUUGAUAUGGUUGUGUUUAUGUAUUGAUUUUAGUAUAUGAAAUGUAAUGCAAGAUGAUCUAUUUGAUGUGUUCAUGAAUGGUUAAGAGAAAUGGUAAGUUUUGGUAUGAG
rnacentral:lncRNA from 1 species